rnacentral:rRNA from 1 species
AGAGAGAGACAUGCGCGCAUAUCAAUAAGCGGAGGAAAAGAAACUAACUAGGAUUCCCCUCAGUAACGGCGAGUGAAGCGGGAAGAGCUCAAAUUUGAAAUCUUCAAGGGUUCUACCUUUACGAAUUGUAGUUUAAAGAAGUGUUUUCUGUUGGAGGUUUUGGUAAAAGUUCUUUGGAAUAGGACAUCAUAGAGGGUGAGAAUCCCGUAUUUGACCAUUACUUUCAGCUUUGUGAUACACUUUCAAAGAGUCGGAUUGUUUGGGAAUGCAGUCCAAAAUGGGUGGUAAAUUUCAUCUAAAGCUAAAUAUUGGCGAGAGACCGAUAGCGAACAAGUACCGUGAGGGAAAGAUGAAAAGAACUUUGAAAAGAGAGUUAAACAGUACGUGAGAUUGUCAAAAGGGAAGCGUUUGACACCAGUGUUGUUUUCUCGAAAAUCAAUUAAAAAAGGCAGGAUUUUGUGUUGUAUUGACUUUAUCAGCUUUCUGCACUCUUUUCUUGUCUUUUUUAAUGCACUUUUCGUUUAACAAGUCAACAUCAAUUUCUUUUGUUGUAAAAGGGUCAUUGGAAGGUGGCUUUCUUUUCGGAGAAAGUGUUUAUAGCCUUUGGCCUCUGCAAUCGGAGAGAUUGAGGUCUGCAGCGUAGAUCCUUCGGGGUUAGAUACAUUUGUGCUAAGUUAUAGCCUUUUCAUAGACAACUUGUUGACUAUGAUCAGUCAUGUAGCUUACUCGCUUAUGCUAUUUUACCUACGCUUAGGAUGUUGAUGUGAUACUGCGAGCA